rnacentral:rRNA from 1 species
GACGAACGCUGGCGGCGUGCUUAACACAUGCAAGUCGAACGGAGUGGAGAACGGGUGAGUAACACGGGGGUGACCUGCCCUGCACUUCGGGAUAAGCCUGGGAAACUGGGUCUAAUACCGGAUAGAGUGGGAUGGGCCCGCGGCCUAUAAGCUGGUAGGUGGGGUAAUGGGCUACCAAGGCGGCGACGGGUUGCCGGCCUGAGAGGGUGGACGGCCACAUUGGGACUAGGGCACUGCCCAGACUCCUACGGGAGGCAGCAGGGGGGAAUAUUGCACAAUUGGCGGAAGCCUGAUGCAGCGACGCCGCGUGGGGGAUGACGGCCUUCGGGUUGUAAACUCCUUUCACCAUCGACGCGGUAGAUGGAGAAGAAGCACCGGCUAACUACGUGCCAGCAGCCGCGGUAAUUC